ACAAGGCCAGGGCGCUGCUAAUGCGCUUUGAUGGGGAUUGAAUUCAUUAUCUCCAAUAACACAAUUGUGCUCGGCCAACGAAAAGAGCAAAGUAAUACUCAUCUAGAAUUAGAGCGAGGGGCUCAGAAGAAAAGGGACGGAGGGGCCGUUUCAAAGGGAGCAGGGGCGAAAAAUGAGAAAACACCUAGAUGGACAAUCGGCUCGGCGAAGGGGGUCCCCCGGUCUAAAGCGCAGAAGUGUAUUAAGUGGGCCAUUGCGAGGAUCAAGGCGCGUUGGUGGUCCCUGACUGCGCAUUCUUGCCUUGGCCGGCCAAGUCGAGGCGAACAAGGACGGGGUCUUGACAUUUCCUUUCCUCCAGAGAGUGAGGGGGGGGGGACUUAGACCUCGUCCCUCUCCGACCCACCCGUCUAAUCACAUUUACUUGGGAAGCAGGAAAGCCGGACAGAAAGGAGGAGGAGGAGGAGAGGCGGGGGUCCUGUCUCUUGAGCGCAGCCGGUAUGGGCAAAGUUGGGAGCGCGACUCUGCUCCUGCAGGAGCGAGAAAAGAUACACCUGUGGCAAGUAUGGACGGUUAAGUUCUUUUAAGCAUCUGGCUUAAGCCUUUGAUCCGAAAGUGAAAAUCUUUAGUUACGUUCAAUGGUCCAUCCAAAUAAAGGACCACAGUCAAUAGGAUGAAUUGGGCACGGGAAGGAAAGUAUCCCGGACCGCUCUCUAAAGCAGGAAUGGCCAACUUGUGGACCUCCAGAUGUUGUGGGACUACUACUCUUAUUAUCCCUGAUCCAUUGGCCGUGCUGCCUGGGGCCGAAUCCAACAACCUCUGGAACACUUGAGAUCUCUCAUGGGAGGAUGGGAUUAAAACAGGGGUAGCCAUCUUGGUGCCCUCCAGGUGUUGUUAGAGACCAACUCCCGUCAGCCACCGCCAGCAUUGCCUAUUAUUGCCAGGAAUAGUGGGGGUUGUAUUCCAGUAAGAUCUGGAGGGCUCCACGCUGGGUAUCCCUGGAUAUUUUGGAACUAACUAAACAAACAGCUUCAAAUGCGCUUUGGAGUAGCUUUGGGGCAACCCCCGGAGGGCUGGAAUGAGCCCCUGACAUGCACUUAAUUCAUAACCGAAUAUCCCAAGCAUCACCGUGGAAUCAUGGCUAAGCGGGAGGAACUCUGUCCUUUGCCCCAAACAGCUGGUAUGGAUCAGGAGCAGGAAAGGGAACUUGUGAGCUGGGGGGGGGGACAUAAAGGGCAGGAAAGGCGAGCGCAGAUGAAGCUGCAAGAGGUCAACUGGAGCCCCGAGCAAGAGCUCCGCUAACUCCCCCAAAGUGUUAAACCUGAUGCCUCUAGAAAAUAACAAGUAGUUUAUUUUUUAUUUUUUUAAAUGAAAAAUAACAAGAUGAUGAAGAAGAAAAUGACUCUGUCGGUCAAUAUAAGCGCAGGUCUUUUCAUUUUAAUUACUUUCCAUUCCAGUCAUAGGAACCCAAUCCAAGGGGCCAAUGUCCCUUCGCCCUUCCCCAUAAAAUAGUUGAGGGAGCCCCCCCCCACAGUUGAUAGGCAUUGCCCUUCAAAUUGUGUGUGUCUUGUGAUCGAUUCUGCAGGGCGGGGCUCCCCCCCAAUAUUUUAUUCAAGUUGGCGCCUUUGAUUCCAGUGAAUGUCUUUCAUAGGAGGCAACCAGAACGCAAGCAGUUUUCCAGUACAGUACAUAACUUUGAAUGCGUGGGUAGCGCUCAGCAGCCACUUGUUCAUAAACGAUGGCGGUGAGGAUCUCGAUGGCAGGGAUGCUGCGCGCAGGGGCCUUUGCAGGCGCUUCAAACCGGAGCGCCAAGAGAGUAGAAGGCGAGUCCUCUCUUUCAGGAGCUGGACGGCGAAAAGCAGCUCAGAAUGAACCUGCUCGGUGCCUUCCACGUUUCCGCCGAGCAGGGCAGGGGCGCGCCUGAAACUGGCCAGGCCUCUGCUCGGUUUGGUGGGCGGGUCAAACGCCCCGCGUCUCCUCGAGUCGGCGUCUCGCCGCCAGAAGCUCCCACAGAGCGGGCUCCGUCCAAAGCAGCCACCGCCGCGGCUCUCGGCAGCGAAGGGCGGUUUCCCGGCGGUGCCCCAAGGGACAGGCGCGAGCGAAUACCCUGACACCCAAGUCUUGCCGACCGCUUGAAAGGCGCUCAGCCGGCGAAGAAGAUGGUGGUAGGCAGGUAGAGAGGAGCUCCCCUUUCUCGCAAGGCCGGGGAAAGAGGGAGGCGGGCUGAGCCCCCAGAGACAAGGCCCUGCUGGUCGCAGCAGAGAGCCAGACCCGCAAAAGCGCGCGGUUGGGGCCUAGCAAACGCCUCCAAGCCUCGUCGUGGCAGUUGCUUCUGCUCGCUGCUUUGCCCUCCGUUUCUUGCCGUCUUCGAUUUCCUCUACCUAGAGGGUCCAGUCAGUGCCGGAUUUACCUAUAAGCUAAACAAGCUAUAGCUUAGGGCCCCGCUCUCUUGGGGUCCCCCCAAAAAGAUUUAAAGGGGGAAAAACACUGGAUGUACAUUUCCAAAAUAUAAGAUAAUAAAAUAAAACAAAACCUACACACAGCAAGUGGCAAAUGGCUUUAGAUACCUAUUAGAUCCAUAAAUUACCAUACAGCAUAUAUUCAACACAAAAACAGCGACAAUUUGUUGUUGACAAAGGACAACUGGACAUAUAAAGGGCCCCAUUACCUUCAGUAGCUUAGGGCCUCAACAAACCUAAAUCUGGCCUUGGGUCCAGUCCAUGGGCGUAGCCAAGGGGGGUAGGGAGAGGCAGCUAAAAAAUCAAUAAAAAUACAUGACAAACUGAGGCUCCCCCCCCCAACAAAAGCCCCCCCCCCAAUCCUGGCUAUGGCCAUGGGCCAGUCGCUUAAAAUAAGAGCAUCCUUGCCACUGACUUUUCAUUGGGUGGUAACAUGGGAUUUUUGUUAGGAGGGAGCAGGACUUGGUGAGGGGGGGGGCAGGACUGAAGUGAUUGGUAAGUUAGUUAUGUAUUUCUGUUUUUUUACUUGAUCUUGGGGGGAGCAGCUGCCCCCUGCACCCCGUUGGCUACGCCCAUGGGUGGGAAUGACAUCCUUACACACACACACACACACACACACACACACACCCUGCCUAAAAUAAGUUAAGGGAGGCAAACUUCACUGAGCCUAACAGGCAACCAAUGCUCAUGCAUUUAAGACAAAUUCUCAACUCAGUUGCCAAAAGCGGAUUAGCGAAUUAUGCAAAAGCAUGAAAAAGAGAAGAAGAGUUUGGGUUUGAUAUCCCGCUUUAUCACUACCCGAAGUCUCAAAGUGGCUAAUAAUAAUAAUAAUAAUAAUAAUAAUAAUAAUUAUUAUUAUUAUUAUUUAUACCCCGCCCAUCUGGCUGGGUUUCCCCAGCCACUCUGGGCGGCUUCCAACAAAACAGUAAAGUGCAAUAAUCUAUUAAACAUUAAAAGCUUCCCUAAACAGGGCUAACUUCAGAUGUCUCCUAAAAGUCUGGUAGUAGUUGUUCUCUUUGACAUCUGGUGGGAGGGAGUUCCACAGGGCGGGUGCCACUACUGAGAAGGCCCUCUGCCUGGCUAACAUUCUCCUUUCCCUUCCUCCCCCACAACAAACACACUGUGAGAUGAGUGGGGCUGAGAGACUUCAGAGAAGUGUGACUAGCCCAAGGUUACCUAGCAGGUGCAUGUGGAGAGCGGAGACGCGAACCUGGUUCACCAGAUUACGAGUCUACCGCUCUUAACCACUAUACCACACUGGCUCUCCACACUGGCAUUUCCACUAGAAAACAUACUGGAAGAGUAGCAAACAGGUAAAGUGUCUUGGUAGUAUCAUUUCUUAAAUUUCCAAGCCCUCCUUACAUGAAAAAAGGUCUAUUAGAGCAAAUUGCUUGAGAAUAAUGAAGUUUGGGGGUACACAGGAAAUAAAAAAAUGCAGGCACAUUUCGCUGGUUUAUGUAAAAUACAUCGCAUUUGAUCGGAAAGGUGGGGAUGCACUGUCUGAGCAGCUUCAAGAUAAGGAAAUUGAACACCGGCACCCAUAUCUAUGAACAGCUUCUGGUUGGAAUCAAGAAAAAACCCUGCUUCUGCUGUUUCUAAAUACAAUAAACUACAGUAUUUGGUCCAAUGUAGAGUAUAUGACCGAUAUGAGCUUCCAACUUCUUCUAGGCGCCACUACUGGAGGUCUCGGGAACACUAAAGGAAAGCGAGAAGCAGGAAAGUCUUGACAGUAUUGACACCACAAUUGGGAAUAAAAGGGGGAAAUGUAGAGGUGGGAGUCAGAAGUUGGACAGGGAGCAAGGCCUAGUGGAACUUAUUUAAGCAUGUAUAGGAUUGCCUGAUUGCAGAACUCCAAAAUGGAAGUGAAGAGUUUCCUCUUCAAAGUAGAGUGACGCCUGUGCUUGUCUCACCAGCUAACCUGUAGCUUCUGAAAUGUGAGCGGGGAUGAAUAUGGGUUCAGUUGUGAGCUGAAUGGUGCCCUACUGAUCCAUCCACCAUCUGAAAUCAUCACCCAAGGCCUUUCUCUAGGUGACUCCAUGAUCCGAAGUGCUGCUGGUGGCAACUAAAGAGAGCUUUUGCUAUUGUGAAUACCUUAUCUUUCAAUAAAUAAUAAUAAUAAUUAUAUUGGGGUCAGCCUGGAAAUGUCCUUUAGGUGCCAUGCAAAAAACACUUCUGUUUUCUUAAACUUUUAAGAACUAAGAAUGUAUGCAGUUAACCUGGAACAGCUGAUUUUUGUGUCUGUUUGAAUAAGCUGCUGCUGUUUGAGUUUGUAAUUUUAAUUUACUUGUUGGAUAGUACUUAAGAGUGUUGGACCAGGAAAGUGGGAGACCCGGGUUCAAAUCCCCCACUCAGCCAUGAAGCUCACUGUGGGUGAUCUUGGGCCCAUUACUGUUUCUUAGCCUAAUCUACUUUACAGGGUAGUUGUGAGGAUAAAAUAGAGAGAAAUAUGUAUGCCACCUUGAGCUCCUUGAAGGAAAGGUGGGAUAUAAAUAUGAUAGAUAGAUAGAUACAGCAGGAUUAUGGAGCAGGAUUUCUAAAUCAUGUGUGAUCUGAGACCAAGUCCCUUUCAUUUGAGAAAUCAAGCAAGGUGUGCAAGCUAUCCUGCACACAUGAACACAUCACAAGACCUGGCUUUAUCUGGAUUCCCCACCACAAUCCACUCUCGGGGUCUGACACUGUAAAAUAUUCUUUUGUUGCUGUAAUCCAGAUGACUGAGGCCCAGCCAAGGUGCUAAAGUGUCUCCUCCAGCACCAUGGCGAGCUGAAUUUCUUGAAUGCAAAGGGAAUUAAGGUCCUCAGCAAGUUGCAAGAUUUGAAGCUAACUAGAAGGGAACUAAAAAAAAAGGAUAUCAGGAUUCUUCAUGGAUUAUGUUUUGAGUGGGGAGAAGAGGCUUAGAGUGGCUCCAUGCUAGUCCCCAGUAUCUUGAAUGUUAAUACUUUUGCCUAAUGUUACCUGCAUAGGUGCCUCCUGAGAGUUAAGAUUAGAAGAAAUAACUUUUGGGAAGGGAAUCGAGAGAAGAAAACCCUAACAAAUACUUUCAGAAGGUCAAAUGAUAAGGACUACCUUGUUAAGCUCAUUGGAGCUUUGGUUACGUGUUAGAUAUGGCUGCAAAUAAUGUUCAUUCCCUUGUGCAGAGAAGGAGAAAGGAGUUUAUUACAUUUCAGCUCUUUCACCAGAUUUUAUAGAACUUUAAGUGAGAACUAAUCCAAUGCCACAGUAGUGCAAUACCUUUAUGAGGGCCAACUAAAAAACCCAAAAUGAUGAACAGUCUUUUGAGGUCUCCAGAAUAACAUGCUGGAUGCUGAGUUGUGUGUGUGAGUUGGGGUAGAUGAGAAUGGAAGCUGGGAGUGGUGAAGUUUCUCUCCAGCUCUGCAGUUUAUACCAGUCUUGAACUGCAAUGCAGGGGGCAUUUUGCAGACAACCCCGGAUUAGCCUUGCAAAGUGCAAGAUAGCUUGUAAAAUACAUCCAAGGUUAUAGGGACAAACAUGCAAAAAUGGAUGUCCCCCCCAUUUUUAUGCAUUUAUUUCCCAUCUGUUCCCACAGACAAUCUCCAUUUCCCCUUUUUAUCCUCGUAGCAUUCUGGUGCAGUAGGUUAGGCUGAGAGGUAGUGACCAUAGCUGCCAAGUUUUCCCUUUUCUCGCGAGGAAGCCUAUUCAGCAUAAGGGAAAAUCCCUUUAAAAAAGGGAUAACUUGGCAGCUAUGGUAGUGACUGGCCCAAGGUCAGCCAGUGAGCUUCAUGGCUGAGUGGGGAUUUGAAUCCAAGUCCUAGUCCAAUUUUUCAACCACUACACCACAUUGGAACUCUUAUCUUUUUAAAAAAUACAAAAUCCAAUAGUUACUCAGUUUGGUCUCAAGCUUUAACUGGAACACACAGGUCCCUUAGAGAUGGAAAACAAAAAGCAACGUGGGUAUCUUUAUAUUAGCAAAGUUGGAGAUUACUUUCUAGGUGGUGCCAAUUGAGGUAUCUGAUUGGAAAGCAUGUGACUCUUGGAAGGAAAGUGUCACCUUCAGGUAGUAGCAACCGUCUCACUUCAGCUUCAUGAUCCCUGUCCUUGAUGGUUGUAUCUAGCAGUCUCUGAGACACAAAAACAUAGGCAGCUGUUUGGGUCCAUAAGAGGAAACAAAGGCACCAAAACCCCACCCACAGCAAGGUGAUUCUUUUAUAUUACAAAGGAGUGAGCAAGUUUUCUAAUUUUUUAUAACUCCACAUCAGGCAGGAUGUCAAACAAAGUGGGUGUGUAUGGGGGAGAUGCAAGCCCUCGCAUCUCUCCAGACUUAACGUGUCCUUCAGAUAAAACCUAAAGCCAAGGUCCAAAGCUUUUUGUCAUUUGAAAUACCUGACAAUGUUUCACAAGAUACCUUUUGGGCAAACUCCAUGUUGGGCAACUGGGAUCCUAGACUUUUCUUCCAGUAUUGCUUUGAAGGACACCUGAACUCUUUGCUGCUUAUUUUGCCAAGGUGCAUAUCCAAUAGGUAUAUACUCAGAAAUGAGUCCUGUGGAGAUCAUUUAGGCUUGCUGCUAGGUUUUUGUAUAUAUACACUUAGGAAAGAGCAAGCCCAAAUGAUCUAAAUGCAACUCACUUCGUAGCAGACACACAGCAGGGUUACAUGGUUAGAAAGUGGGAAAUUUGAGUUAUUAAUUAUUUGUGAUAUAUGACUCAAAAAUAUACAUGUACAUAGGUACUGUAUAGAUUACUGUAUAAAAGACUGAGACAAUGGUAUUUUCACUUUCCUGUUUCCUUUCAGGGAAAGUACAGUAUUAGACUUAGGUUUUGUCAAAACUGCCCCUCUCCCUUUUACAGCACAAAUGUAAAGCUAAUUUCCUACCAUUUCUGAUAUAGAAGGUUAGCAAUCAAUUUGUCAAUGGAUUUGUCCAUAGCAUCAUCAACAAAUAUAAUGCCAUCUUUUUUGGGGGUGGUGGUGGUGGACUAAUGUGGUAAGGAGAAAUAGAAAUACUGGGGUGUAACACUGGGGUGUAAAGCUGUUGAAUGGGCUUAUUCAUGGCAGGAAAUUAUUCAGGUGAUCCAGGUGAAUCCAAUCAGCAGUGACUAAUUCCAAAUGUGACUUGGUAUGAAAUCAUCAAUGGAGAUUCUCUGAUCAGGUUGGUGUUAAAUUGGCAGACUCCCAUUUCCUGUAAGACAAUGGUCUUUCACUUUACAGAUUACACUUGUGAAUGCAUCUGCUGGAAAGGAGACUGUAACCAUCAGAAGGUUGUUCCUAAAGAUUCCGUUUGAAAUGAGAGCCUGCCUCUGGCCCUCAUAGGUGGCCCCAAAACAGCAAUCCAGUUUUUGCCCGACUGCCAGCCACAGCCCUCAACCUUCUUGGCCAGGUGGCUUCUGACUGCGUGGAAUAGGCACAGACUCCAAAGACAUUAUCAGAUGUACACACAACCUGUUGGACUACUGCAAUGCACUCUACGUGGGGAUACCUUUGAAGGCGACCUGGAAACUACAAUUAAUCCAGAAUGCGGCAGCUAGACUGGUGACUGGGAGUGGCUGCCGAGACCAUAUAACACCGGUACUGAAAGACCUACAUUGGCUCCCAGUACGUUUCUGAGCAGAAUUCGAAGUGUUGGUGCUGACCUUUAAAGCCCUAAAUGGCCUCGGCCCUGAACCACCCCCAUUGUUCAUCCCGGACACUGAGGUCCAGCCCCGAGGGCCUUCUGGUGGUUCCCUCACUGCGAGAAGUGAAGUUACAGGGAACUAGGCAGAGGGCCUUCUCAAUAGUGGCAGCUGCCCUGUGGAAGUUGGAACGCCCUCCCAUCAGAUGUCAAGGAAAUAAACAACUACCUGACUUUUAGAAGAGACCUGAAGGCAGCCCUGUUUAGGGAAGUUUUUAAUUUUAGAUGUUUUAUAGUGUUUUAAAUAUUUUGUUGGGAGCCGCCCAGAGUGGCUGGGUUGUUGUUGUUGUUGUUGUUAUUAUUAUUAUUACCAUUUUUAGCAUCAUCAUCAUCAUAUCAUCAUCAUCAUCAUCUCCAAUUAAUACUCUCUUUUCUAGUGCACAAUAUGAAACAAAUGAAAGUUUUACAGGUGCAAGGGAUGGAGAAUUGUAUUAUGAAUGUUUAAAGAUCACCCAGCUCAAUCUUAGGUUAUUUAAAGAUAAAUAAAACACCAACAGCAACAAUGUGGCAUUGGUACCCAUCAGGAUGUUUAUUUUGGAAGAAUAAUUUCUUUAUGCAAUGUCAUUUUGGGGAUACUCUAAAACUAAUGAUGGCCAGCUCACAUAUGGAGCAACCGCCUCACUGUUGCUGAGAACCUCAGAGAAUCCCUGAGGCUUGUAUGGACUUGUAUGGAAACACCAUUUGGAUGACGCGGCGCCUCCAUGUGGGCAGGAUAUUCAUGGCAGAUCUAGUUCUCAUGGCAGCCCAAAUUGGAGUGACUCACCAUUUGCUGCUGACUGGUGUGGAAUCACACAGAAAUUGUUAACUGGGGUAAUAAUUCUGAGGUAUCAGCUGGUAUAGUCCACUAUUUACAGAUCUGAACCACUUCAGGACUGUAGGUGGAAGAACAUAGGAAGAGCCUGCUGGAUCUCAAAUCCUGUUCUCACUGGGGCCAAGCAGAUGUCUAUGGGAAGCCAGUAAGCAGGACCCGAGCACAACAACACUCUCCCAUUCCAGCAACAGCUCUUCAGAAGUAUACUGCCUCCAAUCGUGGAGGCAGAAUAUAGCACAUAUCCUCCAUUCAUUUGUCAAAUCCUCUUUUAAAGCCAUCCAAGUUUGUGGCAAUCACGGCCUCCAGUGGCAGUGAGUUCCAUAGUUUCACUAUGUACUGUGUGAAGAAGUAAUUUUCUUUGUCUGCCCUAAAUCUUCCAAUAUUCAGCUUCAUGGGACGUCGAGGAGUUCUAGAGUUACGAGAGAGGGAGAAAACCUUUUCUCUAUCCGCUUUCUCAAUAUCAUGCAUAAUUUUAUACACCUCUACCUUAUACUUACCUUUUCAUCAGACUAAAAUGCCCCAAAUGCUGCAACCUUCCCACAUAGGGGAGUUGCUUCAUCCCCUUGAUUGUUUCUGUUGCCCUUUUCUGAGAAUCACAUGUUUUCACUCUCUACACGCAAACGCUCCUGCAUCUAGAAAACCAGCACAUCAGGGAAAAGGGUGGGUUAGAGUUCUCCAUGCUGGCAUGUGAGAUUUUCAUAGGCUGUUGGGGGAAGGACCAACCGCGUGAAAUUUCUCAAUGUGCAAUUUCGCUCAAACACUUAUGAAAUCAAGUGGCCUUUUUCUAAAGCUAGAAACUAACCGUACCAAACUUUCUUUUUAAGAAAAGGAAAUAACUGAGCUGAAUAACAGGAGUACCCAGCAAACAGUACACAAGCAGUUCCUUCCCUGCCAGUAAUGUUAGGGAGGAUUUAGAUAAUAUCUACAAAAACUGAAAUGGCUGUAAAAGAGAUUUGACUCUUGUGGGGGCAGGGAGGGAGAACGGGAGACAAGCUUGAUAACAUACCUUAUGGCAUUUAAAAGGAAAUGAGGCUUCUACAGGUGAAGUCUUAAAUGAGCAAUAGUCUCCCCGCUGAGAACCAUUCUUUGACAGACAGUUAAUGACUGGAACAUUUAAGACAUAACGUGAUUAUUGAAAAUGAGGCAGGCCAUUACAAUUGCCUGCCAUUGGAUGGGGGUGGAGCCGACUAGCAGCAGCCAGCUAGUGCUUGUUCAUGAAGACAAGAUCUGUCAAAGAAAUAAUUUAAUGUGAUACAGGCUAAAUUAUGAAGCUUAUGAUGUGGGUUAUUGUCCUUUAGGCAUUUUAGGUGCUACAUCAGGGAGAAUCAUAUUGGACGCUGACAGGGAUGGCUGCUAAGAGAGGGUCAACUGGGUAGAAUUUAUUGCAAGCUGUAUGCAAAAAUUAUCUGGCUAUUUGAAGGUGGAUGCUGUAGGUGGAUCCAUCCAUCUCCUAGGGUCUCUGGGAAGUAGAACCCACUGAAGCUAGAUGGCAAUUUGAGAGUGUGUGUCCUCCCCCUACCCCAACCUAGGUAAUGUAUUUUUUUCUCAAAUAAUGGGCGUUUCUGUCUUCCACACAAUGUGUCAUACGUGGGGCUCCUCUGAUGAAAGUUCGGGAACUUUAGAUGCUGCAGAAUUUGGCAGCCAAGUUGCUCACUGGGGCAAGAUGGUUUGAGCAUAUUACACUGAUCCUGGCCCAACUGCACUGGCUGCCAAUUCGUUUCCAGGCUCAACUCAAAGUGUUGGUUUUGACCUACAAAGCCUUAAAUAGCUCAGGAGCGCAAUACCUCUAGGACUAGCUACCCCCAUCUGAACCGACUUGGACCCUGCAAUCAUAAUCUGAGGCCUUUCUUCAUGUGCAUCCUCCACAAGAUAUCUGGAGGGUGGCAACAUGAGAAUGGGGCUUUUCUGUGAUGGCCCCCUGCUCGUGGAAUGCUUCCCCAGAGAGGCUCACCUGGCACCUUCAUUACAUAUCUAUAGGCACCAGGUGAAAACCUUUCUCCAUAACCAGGCCUUGGGCUGAUUAACAUUCUUUUAAAUCCUUUUAAAUAUGUUUGGGAGGGGGCAUCAUUAGUUUGUUUUUUGGUUUACUAUGUAUUUUGUGUUCUCCUUUUAUAUUGUG